rnacentral:rRNA from 1 species
UACGAAGGGGGCUAGCGUUUCUCGGAAUCACUGGGCGUAAAGGGUGCGUAGGCGGGUCUUUAAAUCAGGGGUGAAAUCCUGGAGCUCAACUCCAGAACUGCCUUUGAUACUGAAGAUCUUGAGUCCGGGAGAGGUGAGUGGAACUGCGAGUGUAGAGGUGAAAUUCGUAGAUAUUCGCAAGAACACCAGUGGCGAAGGCGGCUCACUGGCCCGGUACUGACGCUGAGGCACGAAAGCGUGGGGAGCAAACAGG